rnacentral:misc_RNA from 1 species
GAUGAAGAACGCAGUGAAAUGCGAUACGUAAUGUGAAUUGCAGAAUUCAGUGAAUCAUCGAGUCUUUGAACGCACAUUGCGCCCUCUGGUAUUCCGGAGGGCAUGCCUGUCCGAGCGUCAUUGCUGCCCUCAAGCACGGCUUGUGUGUUGGGCUCCGUCCCCCGAUCCCGGGGGACGGGCCCGAAAGGCAGCGGCGGCACCGCGUCCGGUCCUCGAGCGUAUGGGGCUUUGUCACCCGCUCUGUAGGCCCGGCCGGCGCUUGCCGAUCAACCAAAUUUUUAUCUAGGUUGACCUCGGAUCAGGUAGGGAUACCCGCUGAACUUAAGCAUAUCAAUAAGCGGAGGA